rnacentral:rRNA from 1 species
AACGAACGCUGGCGGCAGGCUUAACACAUGCAAGUCGAGUGCCCCGCAAGGGGAGCGGCAGACGGGUGAGUAACGCGUGGGAAUCUACCCAUCUCUACGGAAUAACGCAUGGAAACGUGUGCUAAUACCGUAUACGUCCUUCGGGAGAAAGAUUUAUCGGAGAUGGAUGAGCCCGCGUUGGAUUAGCUAGUUGGUGGGGUAAAGGCCUACCAAGGCGACGAUCCAUAGCUGGUCUGAGAGGAUGAUCAGCCACACUGGGACUGAGACACGGCCCAGACUCCUACGGGAGGCAGCAGUGGGGAAUAUUGGACAAUGGGCGCAAGCCUGAUCCAGCCAUGCCGCGUGAGUGAUGAAGGCCCUAGGGUUGUAAAGCUCUUUCACCGGUGAAGAUAAUGACGGUAAGCGGAGAAGAAGCCCCGGCUAACUUCGUGCCAGCCGCCGCAGUAAAAC